rnacentral:rRNA from 1 species
GAUGAACGCUGGCGGCAUGCCUAAUACAUGCAAGUCGAACGAGAGGAAGGAAAGCUUGCUUUUCUGAAUCUAGUGGCGAACGGGUGAGUAACACGUAGGUAACCUGCCCAUGUGCCCGGGAUAACUUCUGGAAACGGAUGCUAAAACCGGAUAGGUAGCAGACAAGCAUUUGACUGCUAUUAAAGUGGCUAAGGCCAUGAACAUGGAUGGACCUGCGGUGCAUUAGCUAGUUGGUGAGGUAACGGCCCACCAAGGCGACGAUGCAUAGCCGGCCGGAGAGGGCGGACGGCCACAUUGGGACUGAGACACGGCCCAAACUCCUACGGGAGGCAGCAGUAGGGAAUUUUCGUCAAUGGGGGGAACCCUGAACGAGCAAUGCCGCGUGAGUGAGGAAGGUCUUCGGAUCGUAAAGCUCUGUUGUAAGAGGAAAACGACAUUCAUAGGGAAUGAUGAGUGAGUGAUGGUAUCUUACCAGAAAGUCACGGCUAACUACGUGCCAGCAGCCGCCGUAAAAC